rnacentral:rRNA from 1 species
AUUGAACGCUGGCGGCAGGCCUAACACAUGCAAGUCGAGCGGGGUUUUCGGACCUAGCGGCGGACGGGUGAGUAAUGCGUAGGAAGCUACCCGAUAGAGGGGGAUACCAGUUGGAAACGACUGUUAAUACCGCAUAAUGUCUACGGACCAAAGUGUGGGACCUUCGGGCCACAUGCUAUCGGAUGCGCCUACGUGGGAUUAGCUAGUUGGUGAGGUAAUGGCUCACCAAGGCGACGAUCCCUAGCUGGUUUGAGAGGAUGAUCAGCCACACUGGAACUGAGACACGGUCCAGACUCCUACGGGAGGCAGCAGUGGGGAAUAUUGGACAAUGGGCGCAAGCCUGAUCCAGCCAUGCCGCGUGUGUGAAGAAGGCCUUCGGGUUGUAAAGCACUUUCAGUAAGGAGGAAGAGUUGAGUGUUAAUAGUACUCAGCUUUGACGUUACUUACAGAAGAAGCACCGGCUAACUCUGUGCCAGCAGCCGCGGUAAGAC